rnacentral:misc_RNA from 1 species
CUGGCUUACCUCCUCAGUUAUGCGUCAAGGCUUGUAUCGCCUAGAGCGUAUUGUUGGUUUUCUGUAUUGGAUACCUAAUCGAAGGGUAUUAUUUUGAUCGAUCGGAGUCCCUUUUCGUCUUGUUGCAUUUUGUGUCGCAUGAUGAACGUUGAAGCGGUCUCUAUGAUCCAUCACGUUGAUGCACUUGCAUUGAUGUUGUGGCCCAUUGAGCUUUGUUUGGUUUCUUGGAUAUGGAACAUGAAGUGGGCAUGGGGCUGUCAUGAUCCUCUUUUUGCCCUCGUAUGGUGUCUCGAACGACGGGUCAUGCGCGUCUAGGCUCGU